CGCGUAGGCGGACAGUUUAGUCAGAGGUGAAAGCCCAGGGCUCAACCUUGGAAUAGCCUUUGAUACUGGCUGUCUUGAGUACGGGAGAGGUGAGUGGAACUCCGAGUGUAGAGGUGAAAUUCGUAGAUAUUCGGAAGAACACCAGUGGCGAAGGCGACUCACUGGCCCGUUACUGACGCUGAGGCGCGAAAGCGUGGGAGCAAACA
rnacentral:rRNA from 1 species